UUUCCCUACGGGGGGCAGCAGUGGGGGAUAUUGGACAAUGGGGGAAGGCUGAACCAGCCAAGCCGCGUGAAGGACGAAGGUGCCAAGCAUUGUAAACUUCUUUUGUCAAGGGACAAAAUCAGGCUCGAGAGCCUGACCGAGGGUACUUGAAGAAAAAGCAUCGGCUAACUCCGUGCCAGCAGCCGCGGUAAUACGGAGGAUGCGAGCGUUAUCCGGAUUUAUUGGGUUUAAAGGGUGCGUAGGCGGGCUGUUAAGUCAGCGGUAAAAGCCCGGGGCUCAACCCCGGCGAGCAGUUGAAACUGGCG
rnacentral:rRNA from 1 species